CAGGAAUUGCUGAGCUUCUCUAUGGUCCAUCAUUUGGCCAUGAUAACACUGCAGAUGGGUUUCAUGUGCACUGGAGAAAUUCUGAAGAACUGGUUGAGCAGAUUGGAAAGUGCUAGUCAAAGGUGAAGUACUGACCCCAACAGAGACAGCUGCCACGCUACUCAUCUCCCCAUCAAUAUUUAAUCCAUCUAGCUCACUUAAAUUAUUUCCCGAAGAGCCUGCCAAACCAUGUACAAUUGAGUUUUUUCUUGAUCCCAAGUCCAUGCCAUUAACUGCAACUACGUACUGAAUCUCAUAAUCACCCUCCAAACUGCCCAAGUUAAACUGAGCAUCCUCCAAAUCACUCAUGGAGAACAGAAACAUUCUAAGUU
rnacentral:misc_RNA from 1 species